GGCGGGUCCCGCUCCAUAACUCACGCCCGCGCGGGCCCCGCCAGCGCCCCACCUUAAAAGCCCGUGCCAAUUGCCAAUCACGCGCUCACUCUCCUCUCCUCACGGCCGGGAGCGAGUAGAUGGAAGCAGGCGGCGGCAGACGGGCAGAGGAAGCGUCCACGGCCACGACCGGCAGCAGCAGCAGCAGCAGACAGCAGAGGGUGAGGAUCCGCCGAUCUGACCAGUUACAAGGCGCGCGCGAGGCGGGAGCUCUGGAGGGCAUGGCCAUGGAAAGGGAGCCGGCGCCGAGGAAGGCGCGCUCCACGCCGAGCAGCCCGAGGCGCGACGCCGCCCCUGGCAUCUCCGCCGUGGCAUCGGGCGGCGCCGGGAGCUCGCUGGCGCGCACGGGGAGCUGCUUCGCCGCUCUCGUCGAAUGAGGAAGGAAUCCGAGAUGCUUGUGUGCGUGAUGGAGAGGGAGAACAGGCUAGCUAGUCUCUCUCUUGUGCGUUUCUGCUUGCACUAGCAGUUGCUGCCAGGAUUAAGCAAGUAAGAUGAAUAAACAUGUGUACAUACAGGGGAUGGAGAAGAUCGACGAACUAUAUAUUAUUAGACCAGCGAAUGUAUAUCAUAUCACUUGCUGGUUUCUGGCCUUGUACUGAUAUAUUCUGCUUCGCGUGA